rnacentral:lncRNA from 1 species
UGUAGAGCUAUGUUACAUUAAAUGGCAAAAGUGACUUUGUAGAGGUGUCAUUUAUCCAGAUGCUGCAUGAUUAAGACCACCAUACUCUUAUCAAGCAUACAGGUGUCAAUGUCUAUUUUAAACAGGAGAGAACUCAAGAAGUUCUGUAGAAACUGCUUUCUUUGUCAUAUCUCAAAGAAUUUGCUGAGGAUUUCAGAGCUGCCAUGAGUUGAGAGAAGACUUCGGACAUUUCACUUAACACUGAAUAUUCACUCUACUGCCACUACUCAGGACUUUUGAUGGGCAUGAAAAUCCAAGCCUGCUUUAUGAUAUUAACCUCUGAAGCUCAUAAAUUGCUUAAAACUUUAGAAUGUCCAGAAAACACUGGUAGAAUAUGGACACAUGAGACAAGGCCAGCAAGGAAGUCAAUAAAAUGUUAUUACUAAGCAAAUCACCACCAGAAAAGCAGAAGGAAAUCCAGGAAAUCCCACUUCAAUAUUGUGAAAGACAGUAAAGAACAUUCCCUGGAGUUAGGACAAAUGAAGAGCAAGAAGUUUCAUCUUGCUCUGUCAUCCAGGCUGGAGUGCAGUGGCACCAUCUCGGCUCACUGAAACCUCCACUUCCCGGGUUCAAGCAAUUCUCCUGCCUCAGCCUCCUCAGUAACUGGGGUUACAGAGUGAAUAGACAACUUACAGAAUGGGAGAAAAUACUUGCAAGCUAUGUAUCCAACAAAGGACUAAUAUCGAGAAUUUACAAAGAAUUAAAACAAAACUCAACAAGAGUAAAACAACCCCAAUAAAAGGCAAAUUGAACACAUUUGGAAAUAUUGGAUCAGCAUUGCAGCCAUACCCUUUAGACAGGACACACACUUUCCAGUUCUCCUUGACAGAGAGGCUGAAGCUGCUUAUGUGUCUGGAAUUGGUGGGUUCUUGGUCUCACUGACUUCAAGAAUGAAGCCGCGGACCCUCGCGUGAAGCAAUACAGGCAUUCAUGUCUGGGCAAAAGGAAUAAGUGGACUACAUGCAGAGGCAGAGUGAGGCUGGAAUGUGUAUACAACCCAAGCUAUCUAUGUAGAUUUUUUGUUGCUUUUUGAGUUUUUUUUUUUUUUUGCUUAUUCUGAUUCUAAUUGUACAAAUCAAUAAUAAAAAUGUUAAAAAUAGGCUGUUAAAAUAUUCAUGACUAUGCAAAUGCUUCAAAUAUAGUUAUUUAAAGUUUCUUUCUUUUUAAAAUUGGGACAAGGUCUUGCUCUUUAACCCAAAGCUGGGUGGCAUAGGUGAAAGAGCAAGACCAAGGCAUGACCAAGGCUCACUGCAGCCUUGACCUCCUGAUCUCGUUAUCCUCCCACUUCAGCCUCCCAAGUAGCUGGGUAAAGGCAUGCACCACAGUGCCCAGCUAAUAUUUUAAUUUUUUUUUGUAGAGACAUGGUCUUGCCCGGUUGCCCAGGCUGGUCUUGAAUUCCUGAGUUCAAGUGAUCCUUGCUUCUCAGGCUCCCUAAGUGCUGAGAUUACACGUGUGGGUCCCCAGCCAAAAAAAUCUUCCUAGGGAAACCCUCACAUUUUCAAGGGUUUUACCUUUGGUACCUCCAUAAAUUUGUAUCAAGCAACAAAAUGUACUGUCAAGCAACAAAAAAUAUAAAGGGACCUUAAAUGCAUAUUUCUAAGACCAAGAAGCUAGUCUGAAAUGGCUACAUACUAUAUAAUCCUAUAUGACUCCUAUGUGAAAGAUAAACAUUCUGGAAAAGGCACAACUAUAGAGUAAAAAGAUCAAUGGUUGCUUGGGUUUGGUAUGCAUGUGUGUUAGGGGGCAGGGUGGCUGUCGAGAGGAAUACAUAGGUGAAGCACAAGUGAUUUUUAUGGCACUGCAACUGUUCUGCAUUAUACCAUAAUAAUAAUAAAUGACAUUUUUCAUUUGUCAAAACACGUAGAAUGUACAAGAGAAAGAGUAGAGCUUAAUGUAAAUUAUAAACUGUAGUUACUAUUGAUAUGUAAAUAUUGGUGUUUUAAUUGUAUCAAGUGCACCACACCAGUGAAAGAUGUUAGUAAUAGGACAAAUGUAUACCAGCUUGGGAGGUUAUAUGGCAAUUUCUGUACUAUCUGCUCUUGUUUUUAUUGUAAAUUUAAAACUAUGCUAAAAUAAAAUUUAUUAGUUUAAUUUUCAAGAGAUUAAGAAUGUAUGUUUAAAUGUCAUAAUACAUAUGCAGAGCUUUAUGCAUAUCCAUAUACUUCAAGCCAAAUCUACUUUUGGUGAAUUCGUCUCUUUAUAAAACACACAGAAAUAGGAAGAAAAGUAAUUGAGAAAUAUUUACUAUGAAAUAACUUUAUAAGCUGUAAAUUGAAAGCACAUACAUAUAUUUUAAAAAGGCAUUUAUAUACUUAAGCAAAUUAUUUUCCAAAUACAGAAUAUUAGCCAGCCAACAAAUAAUGUUUAAGAAAGUUUUUAAUUUUCUGAGACAAUACGUAUGAUAAAAUAUUAAGUAAAGAACAACUUUGUUGUAAUGUGAUAUACAACAUUACAUAAAUAAAAAAAAUCUAGAUUAAUGUGUAGUCAGUAAGAAUUGCCAUGAAACAUUGUGAAACUGAUAUGUGAAAUUUAUUGUUUUAAAGCCCCUUAUAACUAAUAUUCUAUUUUUCCAUAUAAUCCUAUUAAUGUAUAAAUAAAAUCUUCUAUUUACCAAGUGGAUAUUAAAUCAAAAUAAUGUAAAUUAACAUCCACAAAUCAUAACUUUUCUUAAUGUUUACUCUUUAAGAAUACAUAGUAGUUGCACAUAUUUAAGGCAUACAUGUGACAUUUUGAUAUGUGUGUAUCAUGUGUAAUGAUCAAAUCAGAGUAAUUGGGAUAUCCAUCAUCUGAAACAUUUAUCAUAGCUUUAAAGGGCCAAAGCCAGGAUUUAACUCUCUUAGAAUCCAAAGUCCUUGUUCUUAGAAAUAUUAGUUAAAAUAAUGACAAUGUUUGCCUCUGGGUUAUGCUAUUAUGAGGAAUUUAAUAUUUUUAAAGCAGAAACUGAAAUUUUUAUAAUAGGAAGAUAUUUAAUAAAUAUGGAAAUGUAUAACUGAUUUUUUCUCCUAUGUCAUUAUCGUUGAAAGAAAAUCUUCAUAUCUUAUGUAAAUAUAUUCUAGAUUAUUGGAUAGAUUUUAUAAUUUCUAAUUAUAAAUUAAAAUUUUGUUUUAUAUUAUCUUUGGUGGUGAAAAAUAUGCUCACCAAACUGACAGGCAAAUGUAAUGUAAUGCUAAUUGCUUAAUUGAUUAUUACUAGGAGUCCACAAUUUUCAGUGCUUUUCUUCCUAUUUCUGUGUAUUUUAUAAAGAGAAAAAUUCACCAAAAAUCAAUUUGGCUUGAAGUAUGUGGAUACACAUAUAGCUCUGCAUGUGUAUUAUUACAUUUAAACACACAUUCUUAAUCUCUUGGAAAUUAAACUAAUAAACUUUAUUUGAGCACAAUUUCAAAUAUAAAA